rnacentral:tRNA from 5 species
GGGGUUGUGGCGCAGUGGUAGCGCAUAUGCUUUGCAUGCAUGGGGUCGUCGGUUCGAACCCGGCCAACUCCA